rnacentral:tRNA from 1 species
GGGGCUGUAGCUCAGUGGUAGAGUGCAUGCCUGACAGGUGUGAGGCACUGAGUUCAAUCCUCAGCAUCACAU